rnacentral:rRNA from 1 species
UACGUAGGGGGGCAAGCGUUGUCCGGAUUUAUUGGGCGUAAAGAGCGUGUAGGCGGCCAGGUAGGUCCGCUGUGAAAACCCGAGGCUCAACCUCGGGACGUCGGCGGAAACCAUCUGGCUAGAGUUCGGGAGAGGAGAGUGGAAUUCCCGGUGUAGCGGUGAAAUGCGCAGAUAUCGGGAAGAACACCCGUGGCGAAGGCGGCUCUCUGGAACGAUACUGACGCAUG